rnacentral:miRNA from 1 species
CUGCCAUGAUGCCAGCUGCAGUGUGGGAGGUAAGACUGGAGCUUGUGGACUCCACAAAGCUGCAGGAGCCAGGAACAGG